UAUCUCUGUAGAGUCUGCAUAUCAAAUAAGCGGAGGAAAAGAACUAACUAGGAUUCCCUCAGUAACGGCGAGUGAAGCGGGAAGAGCUCAAAUUUGAAAUCUUCAAGGUUUUACCUUGACGAAUUGUAGUUUAAAGAAGUGUUUUCUGUUGGAGUUUUGGUAAAAGUUCUUUGGAAUAGGACAUCAUAGAGGGUGAGAAUCCCGUAUUUGACCAUUAUUUCCAGCUUUGUGAUACACUUUCAAAGAGUCGGAUUGUUUGGGAAUGCAGUCCAAAAUGGGUGGUAAAUCUCAUCUAAAGCUAAAUACUGGCGAGAGACCGAUAGCGAACAAGUACCGUGAGGGAAAGAUGAAAAGAACUUUGAAAAGAGAGUUAAACAGUACGUGAAAUUGUCAAAAGGGAAGCGUUUGACACCAGUGUUGUUUUCUCGAAAAUCAAUUAAAAAUGGCGGGAUUUUGUGUUGUAUUGACUUUAUCAGCUUUCUGCACUUUUUUCCAGUCUUUUUUAAUGCACUUUUCGUUUAACAAGUCAACAUCAAUUUCUUUUGUUGUAAAAGAGGUCAUUGGAAGGUGGCUUUCUUUUCGGAGAAAGUGUUUAUAGCCUUUGGCCUCUGCAAUCGGAGAGAUUGAGGUCUGCAGCGUAGAUCCUUCCGGGGUUAGAUACAUUUGUGCUAAGUUAUAGCCUUUCAUAGACAACUUGUUGACUAUGAUCAGUCAUGUAGCUUACUCGCUUAUGCUAUUUUACCUACGCUUAGGAUGUUGAGUCAUCACACAUCUCU
rnacentral:rRNA from 1 species